AGACAGAGAGAAGGGGAAGGAUGGACCACAUUGUAAUUUUUCUCCUUCUGCUGAGCAGUGUGCCAGGUACCUUUUCCAGUCCCCGGCUGACCCAGUCUGGCCCAGUUAUGGUGAAGCCGGGAGGGUCCUUCAAAGUGACCUGCACUGUCUCUGGGGUCCAAGUCAGUGAUCAUUACUGGGUUUGGAACCAUCAGCCUCCAAAAAAAGGCCUGGAGUGGCUGGGAGGUAUUCGUAGUACUGGAAAUGGAGGAACCAGCUACUACAACCCAGCCUUCAGCAGUCGAAUCAGCAUCACCAGGGACACCUCCAGGAAUGAGGUCUACCUCCAGCUCAGUUCCCUGACAGCUGCAGACACUGCAACGUAUUACUGUGCAAGAUACACAGAGUUAAAGCAUUGGGGAUUGGGCACCAAAAUGCCCAUCACAAUGAUGGGCAAAGGAGAUUAUCCUGCCCUAUAG